UACGUAGGGUGCAAGCGUUAAUCGGAAUUACUGGGCGUAAAGCGUGCGCAGGCGGUUGUGCAAGACAGAUGUGAAAUCCCCGGGCUUAACCUGGGAAUUGCAUUUGUGACUGUACGGCUAGAGUGUGUCAGAGGGGGGUAGAAUUCCACGUGUAGCAGUGAAAUGCGUAGAGAUGUGGAGGAACACCGAUGGCGAAGGCAGCUCGCUGGGACGUCACUGACGCUGAGACGCGAAAGCGUGGGGAGCAAACAGG
rnacentral:rRNA from 1 species